CCCCCCCCCCCCCCCCCCCCCCCCCCCCCCCCCCCCCCCCCCCCCCCCCCCCCCCCCUUUGAGUGGUCAGUUGGGUGGUCAGUUGGGUGUUUGAGUGGUCAGUUGGGUGGCUGGGUGGUUGAGUGGUCAGAUGAGUGGUUUAGUGGUUGGUUCAUGGGUCAGUUGUUGGAUGGUCACUUGGGUGGUUGAGUGGUCAGUUGGGUGGCUGAAUGGUUGGUCAGUUCAGUGGUCAGUCGGGUGGUUUGUUGGUUUUUUUGCCGGUCAGUUGAUAAGUUGACCAGUUGGGUGGUUUUUUUGGUCAGUUGGUCAGUCGGUCAGUUAAUCACUGACCCCUCCCCCCUUUACAGUGACCCAAACCAGCAGGUCAGUUGGUCAGUUGGUUGGUCAGGUUUUGAUUGAUCAGUCGGUCAAUUGGUCAGCUGGUCACUCCCUGUCCCCCUCCACAGCGACCCAGACCAGCCGGUCAGUUGGUCAGUUGGGUGGUUUUUUGGUUGGUUGGUCAGUCGAUCAGUUGGUCAGUUGGUCAGUUUUUGGUUGAUCAGUUGUCAGUUGGUCAGUUUUUGGUGAGUCAGUUGGUCAGUUGGUCAGUUUUUGGUGAGUCAGUUGAGUGGUUGUGUGGUCAGUUGGGUGGUUGGGUGACCAGUCCAUGACUCAGUUGGUCAGUUGAUCAGUUGGUCAGUUGGGUGGUUUUUUUGGUUAGUUGGGUGGUUGGUUGGUCAUUUGUUGGUUGUUCAGUUGGUCAGUUGGGUGGUUAGUUGGUCAGUUGUUGAUCAGUCGGUCAGUUGGGUGGUUUUUUGGUCAGCUGGGUGGUUGGUUGGUCAGUUGGUCAGUUGGGUGUUGUUUUGGUCGGUUGUGUGGAUGGUCGGUCAGUUGGUCAGUUGGGUGGUUGGUUGGUCAGUUGGGUGUUGUUUUGGUCAGUUGUGUGGAUGGUUGGUCAGUUGGUCAGUUGGUCAGUUGGUCAGCUGGGUGUUGUUUUGGUCGGUUGUGUGGAUGG
rnacentral:lncRNA from 12 species